UUGGACACAGUCACACUCAGGUAGCCUCCUGGCUCUGAGGACUCAUGGUGGAGAUAACACAGCAAAGCAGAGGCCCCCAAUUUCUGCCCGGCCAUACCUAGUUUCCUGUUGCAUAGGUCCGGACACACAAGCGGAGUCAUGGAUGAGAGUUUUGACAUAUUUGACAUGAAUCAUACACACCUGUGUGACGUUAGGAAGGUGUUGCUCAUAUACACGCUGUCAAUACUGGAAUGUUGCACUUCUUCACACAGCACGUCACCCAUGGUGCACUGAAGCAGCCGAGGCACUUCCUCAUUGCGGUCGCCAUCAAAGAUGCCGUAACACGCUUCCACACUGUCUCCAAGGCGGUCGAUGGCCAGCACGGACACGCACAACCUGACGAAAAAUAAGAGAUGGACAAGAGUUUCAAGACAGCUGACUGUUGGAAAGAAAACUGGAGUUUGCCCCUUCUUGCAGAAAACAAAAAUGUCCAUUUUUCUGGGACGACUUUCUACAGGAUGUCCAAGUCUGGUAAAAUUGCGCUGUUUUCCCCUCAGAUGCGGCUGAUUGGUACCUGGCCAUACCUGGUACCUGCUUUGUUCCUCCAGUCAGUGGCUGGAUUAUUGUCGUUGCCACAUGUCGGUCUUGUCGUUGCUACCUGUCGUGUCGUGUCGUAUCAUAUCAUGUCAAUGCAGCGUUGCGGUAAGCUAUAUUUGAUAGUGGUUUGUACCUUAUUGUCUUUUGUUCCCUGCUUCCAAGUUUUUUUUCAUACUAUAAGUAUAACUUCUGUUUCUUGCUCGAUACCUGCUAGCUUCCACGCUAGGCCUUUUUGUUUGUUAUCCGCCCAUGUGCGCGCUUUUUGUUUGUACCCUUUGUUUGUUUUUUGUCUUAGUGUUUUAAAUUAAAUCAUGUUUUCUCACUUCA